CCAUUAUUUUUGCAAAAAGUUUCUAAAUCGCUCCUCCUAACAGCUGAACAAUUCUAUUUUGAUAAUAUUUUGUAUGUUUGGGCAAUUUGAAGUCGAUUUAACCAAGGAUGACGAGAGAUGAACUAAGAUGUAUAAGGAUGAAAAGAAUUCUUGUGUAGGGUGAAAUCCCAAAAAUCUACAUACAGCUGGUACAACGCAAAACAGAUAAUAUUGAAGUAUUG